rnacentral:rRNA from 1 species
GAUGAACGCUGGCGGCGUGCCUAAUACAUGCAAGUCGAGCGAACAGACGAGGAGCUUGCUCCUCUGACGUUAGCGGCGGACGGGUGAGUAACACGUGGAUAACCUACCUAUAAGACUGGGAUAACCUCGGGAAACCGGAGCUAAUACCGGAGAAUAUAUUGAACCGCAGGGUUCAAUAGUGAAAUACGGUUUGUGGGGAUGUAAUAGAGGGUUCUCCGCCGCUUUGGCUGGUUGUUAAGUAAACGGCUUUCCAAGGGAACGAGGCGUAGCCGACCUAAGGGGGUGGUCGGCCACACUGGAGCUGGGACACGGUCCAGACUCCUACGGGAGGCCGCAGUAGGGAAUCUUCCGCAAUGGGCGAAAGCCUGACGGAGCAACGCCGCGUGAGUGAUGAAGGUCUUCGGAUCGUAAAGCUCUGUUAUUAGGGAAGAACAAAUUUGUAAGUAACUAUGCCCGUCUUGACGGUACCUAAUCAGAAAGCCCCGGCUAACUACGUG